AGAAGAAGGACUGCUAAUACCGAAUAAGUUCCAAGAGCCGCAUGGCCCAUGGAAGAAAAGGUGGCCUCUACCUGUAAGCUAUCGCCUGAAGAGGGGUUUGCGUCUGAUUAGCUGGUUGGAGGGGUAACGGCCCACCAAGGCGACGAUCAGUAGCCGGUCUGAGAGGAUGAACGGCCACACUGGAACUGAGACACGGUCCAGACUCCUACGGGAGGCAGCAUG
rnacentral:rRNA from 1 species